UACACGCUGUGACUAGCAUAUCAAUAAGCGGAGGAAAAGAAACUAACAAGGAUUCCCCUAGUAACGGCGAGUGAAGCGGGAAGAGCUCAAAUUUGAAAUCUUAAAGGGUUUCCCUUUACGAAUUGUAGUUUAAAGAAGUGUUUUCUGUUGAGGUUUUGGUAAAAGUUCUUUGGAAUAGGACAUCAUAGAGGGUGAGAAUCCCGUAUUUGACCAUUUACUUUUCAGCUGUGUGAUACACUUUCAAAGAGUCGGAUUGUUUGGGAAUGCAGUCCAAGAUGGGUGGUAAAUUUCAUCUAAAGCUAAAUAUUGGCGAGAGACCGAUAGCGAACAAGUACCGUGAGGGAAAGAUGAAAAGAACUUUGAAAAGAGAGUUAAACAGUACGUGAAAUUGUCAAAAGGGAAGCGUUUGACACCAGUGUUGUUUUUCUGAAAAUCAAUUAAAGAACUGUUUAUGCUAAGUUGUUUAGACUUUAUCAGCUAACUGUUUAGUUUUGAGCUUUUCUUUAAUGCACUUUUCAGUUAACAAGUCAACAUCAAUUUCUUUUGCUGUAAAAAAGCUUGAGGAAGGUGGCUUGAGAUUCGUCUUAAGUGUUUAUAGCCUCUUGCCUAUGCAGUCGGAGAGAUUGAGGUCUGCAGCGUAGAUCCUUCGGGGCUAAAUGCAUUUGUGCUAAGUUAUAGCAUUUUAUAGACAACUUGUUGACUAUGAUUUGUCUUGUAGCUUACUCGCUUAUGUUAUUUUACCUACGCUUAGGAUGUUGAAGAUGUAGCACAUCAU
rnacentral:rRNA from 1 species